GAAUUGCGUGAAGGAUGGCAGUGGAAAUCCUUUUGCGGAGUUUACGGAGCAAAAGAUUGCAGCGUACAGCCUGACGGCGG
rnacentral:sRNA from 1 species